GUUUCCUAUUUUAAUUCUAUAAAUAUGUCAUAUGAUUUAAAUAUACAUUUAAUUAAGUUGGUUGGCCAACAAAUGUUUCCUCUUAUCGUUACAUAUUUUCCAAGGCUACAUGCAAAACAAUAAAUAAAAACAUCCUGUUCGUUUUUAAAAUAAAGCCUGCUUUUCUAAAAUAUUAUUUACUAUAAUUUAUUUUCCUAAGUUAAAUUAUUUCUUUUAUACCAAAAUUUACUCCUUUUUUUAAAAAAAAAUGUCGAAAUUGCUAAAAUUUACUAUAGUAUUUUAUCUCACCGCUCUAUUUCUAUAUUAUUCAAGUGGAUUAGCGCAUACCUAUAUUACAAGGGGUCGGCCCUUUGAAUGCCGGCCAUAUUGCAUGAUAUAUUGUCCUAAUGGAAAUGUGUUGGAUAGUAAUAGAUGCCCAACAUGCCAGUGCAUCAAAGAUCUUAUUUAACAAAAAUAUAUUCAAAAUUUUUAUUAAUCUUGGGUAAUAUAUAUUAAAAUUAUACAACUUUUAUAUAUUAAUUUAUUGUGUAAUAUAUUAUGUUAUCGUUAUUGAUAUUGCUUUAAUUAAUAAAGUAAUGUUUAAAAAUUUU